GAUGAACGCUGGCGGCGUGCCUAAUACAUGCAAGUCGAGCGAACAGACGAGGAGCUUGCUCCUCUGACGUUAGCGGCGGACGGGUGAGUAACACGUGGAUAACCUACCUAUAAGACUGGGAUAACUUCGGGAAACCGGAGCUAAUACCGGAUAAUAUAUUGAACCGCAUGGUUCAAUAGUGAAAGACGGUUUUGCUGUCACUUAUAGAUGGAUCCGCGCCGCAUUAGCUAGUUGGUAAGGUAACGGCUUACCAAGGCAACGAUGCGUAGCCGACCUGAGAGGGUGAUCUGCCACACUGGAACUGAGACACGGUCCAGACUCCUACGGGAGGCAGCAGUAGGGAAUCGUCCGCAAUGGGCGAAAGCCUGACGGAGCAACGCCGCGUGAGUGAUGAAGGUCUUCGGAUCGUAAAACUCUGUUAUUAGGGAAGAACAAAUGUGUAAGUAACUAUGCACGUCUUGACGGUACCUAAUCAGAAAGCCACGGCUAACUACGUG
rnacentral:rRNA from 1 species